GGAUUGUGGCUCAGUGGUAGAACGCUUGCCUAGCAUGUGAGAGGCCCUGGGUUCAUUCCCCAGCACCA
rnacentral:tRNA from 1 species